AACGCACAUUGCACUCUAUGGUAUUCCGUAGAGUAUGCCUGUUUCAGUAUCAUGAACACCUCACUACUACAACUUUAUUGUUUUGUAAGAGUGGACUUGGGAUGCGCUGGUGUCAAUCAGCCCUUCUAAAAUGGAGUUCUUGCACUGUUGAUUUGUUUUAACAGCAAUGUUGGCCUAAUAAGUUUCGGCAGUAAUGUUGAAAUCACCGGCUUUUUUUGCUUAGAAUCUGACAGUCUUGAUAUACAGAAUUUUGAGAUGACUUUUGUCGCCUCUUUCAAAUUUUGAUCUGAAAUCAGGUAGGAUUACCCGCUGAACUUAA
rnacentral:misc_RNA from 1 species